AUUGAACGCUGGCGGCAGGCCUAACACAUGCAAGUCGAACGGUAACAGGAAGAAGCUUGCUUCUUUGCUGACGAGUGGCGGACGGGUGAGUAAUGUCUGGGAAACUGCCUGAUGGAGGGGGAUAACUACUGGAAACGGUAGCUAAUACCGCAUAACGUCGCAAGACCAAAGAGGGGGACCUUCGGGCCUCUUGCCAUCGGAUGUGCCCAGAUGGGAUUAGCUAGUAGGUGGGGUAACGGCUCACCUAGGCGACGAUCCCUAGCUGGUCUGAGAGGAUGACCAGCCACACUGGAACUGAGACACGGUCCAGACUCCUACGGGAGGCAGCAGUGGGGAAUAUUGCACAAUGGGCGCAAGCCUGAUGCAGCCAUGCCGCGUGUAUGAAGAAGGCCUUCGGGUUGUAAAGUACUUUCAGCGGGGAGGAAGGGAGUAAAGUUAAUACCUUUGCUCAUUGACGUUACCCGCAGAAGAAGCACCGGCUAACUCCGUGCCAGCAGCCGCGGUAAUACAGAGGGUGCAAGCGUUAAUCGGAAUUACUGGGCGUAAAGCGCACGCAGGCGGUUUGUUAAGUCAGAUGUGAAAUCCCCGGGCUCAACCUGGGAACUGCAUCUGAUACUGGCAAGCUUGAGUCUCGUAGAGGGGGGUAGAAUUCCAGGUGUAGCGGUGAAAUGCGUAGAGAUCUGGAGGAAUACCGGUGGCGAAGGCGGCCCCCUGGACGAAGACUGACGCUCAGGUGCGAAAGCGUGGGGAGCAAACAGGAUUAGAUACCCUGGUAGUCCACGCCGUAAACGAUGUCGACUUGGAGGUUGUGCCCUUGAGGCGUGGCUUCCGGAGCUAACGCGUUAAGUCGACCGCCUGGGGAGUACGGCCGCAAGGUUAAAACUCAAAUGAAUUGGCGGGGGCCCGCACAAGCGGUGGAGCAUGUGGUUUAAUUCGAUGCAACGCGAAGAACCUUACCUGGUCUUGACAUCCACGGAAGUUUUCAGAGAUGAGAAUGUGCCUUCGGGAACCGUGAGACAGGUGCUGCAUGGCUGUCGUCAGCUCGUGUUGUGAAAUGUUGGGUUAAGUCCCGCAACGAGCGCAACCCUUAUCCUUUGUUGCCAGCGGUCCGGCCGGGAACUCAAAGGAGACUGUUAGUGAUAAACUGGAGGAAGGUGGGGAUGACGUCAAGUCAUCAUGGCCCUUACGACCAGGGCUACACACGCGCUACAAUGGCGCAUACAAAGAGAAGCGACCUCGCGAGAGCAAGCGGACCUCAUAAAGUGCGUCGUAGUCCGGAUUGGAGUCUGCAACUCGACUCCAUGAAGUCGGAAUCGCUAGUAAUCGUGGAUCAGAAUGCCACGGUGAAUACGUUCCCGGGCCU
rnacentral:rRNA from 1 species